rnacentral:rRNA from 1 species
GCCCGGCGAAAGCCGGAUUAAUACCGCAUACGAUCUACGGAUGAAAGCGGGGGACCUUCGGGCCUCGCGCUAUAGGGUUGGCCGAUGGCUGAUUAGCUAGUUGGUGGGGUAAAGGCCUACCAAGGCGACGAUCAGUAGCUGGUCUGAGAGGACGACCAACCAUACUGGGACUGAGACACGGCCCAGACUCCUACGGGAGGCAGCAGUGGGGAAUUUUGGACAAUGGGCGAAAGCCUGAUCCAGCAAUGCCGCGUGUGUGAAGAAGGCCUUCGGGUUGUAAAGCACUUUUGUCCGGAAAGAAAUCCUUGGCUCUAAUACAGUCGGGGGAUGACGGUACCGGAAGAAUAAGCACCGGCUAACUACGUGCCAGCAGCCGCGGUAAUACGUAGGGUGCAAGCGUUAAUCGGAAUUACUGGGCGUAAAGCGUGCGCAGGCGGUUUGCUAAGACCGAUGUGAAAUCCCCGGGCUCAACCUGGGAACUGCAUUGGUGACUGGCAGGCUAGAGUAUGGCAGAGGGGGGUAGAAUUCCACGUGUAGCAGUGAAAUGCGUAGAGAUGUGGAGGAAUACCGAUGGCGAAGGCAGCCCCCUGGGCCAAUACUGACGCUCAUGCACGAAAGCGUGGGGAGCAAACAGG